CGAGUCGCGCCGUCCCUCCCCAGUGUUCGACUGCAGCGCAGCCUACGGCCCGGGGUUCAAGGCCUCCGUCGUCGGCCGGGACAUCCUGACGCCGCCAGACCUGGAGAGGAUCUUCGGGCUGCCCGGUGGGAACAUCUUCCACGGAGCGAUGUCUCUGGACCAGCUGUACUUUGCCCGGCCGGCACCAUCCUAUUCAGGCUACAGGUCCCCAAUUCCAGGCUUGUACCUGUGUGGAAGUGGAGCCCAUCCUGGUGAGUAGGGGUGGGAGCUGGGACCCCCGGGGGGCUGCAGGAGGGAGGGCAGGGUGCACAGAGGAGGUGCAGAGGCAGCACAGGGCAUGGGGCCAGCACCAGCCCUCCACCCUGGUGCGAGCCGUGAGACGGAGCAGCUCUCAUGGUGCAGUCACAGGCCCCGUCUCCUGGGGCCGGAGCUGCCCGCUGCUCCCGUGUCUGCUGCCUUGCCGGGGGGGGAGUGAUGGGGGCAGCAGGACGCAAAGGGGUGGCCCUCGAGGACUUCAGGCGGCUGUGACGGCAGCAGUGAUGCCAGCGUCGCCUGCGCAGGGUUGUGGCUGCUGUGAACUGUGUCAUGCCCUGGGGGUGGGACCAGGGAGCUCUGGGCCAUGCCCCUGCCUGGCCCUGGGCAGGACACUCGUGCCCCUUGUGCUCCCAGCUGGCACCUUCAUGUUGAACAUGUGGCUGCUCCCUGCCUGCUGUGGCCUUGCCUUGCGCUGGUGGCUCCUCUCCUCCUGCACGUGGGGCGUCUCGCUCGCCCCAGGACCUCGCUGCACUUGGGAAAGUAAACACCACCGUGGGCUCUGCAUUUAGCACUUUCUCUGUGGUUUUUCAGCUCUUCCUGCAGCUGGUGAUGCACCGCUGGGUUUGCUGGCCUCAGCGCAAGGUGGGAGCGCGGCCAGCUCUCGGGCCUGGGGCAGUGCACUGGGCUGUUGGUGCUGCAUCUGGCUGUGCUGCCCCUGUGGGACCUGCCGGAGGGGACAUGCACGUCACAGAGUGGUGACCAGGGAGAACUGGCCCCUCACCGUCUCCUCCAUCACCAAAGCAUGCUCCAGUUGGCUCAGGACUAUUUGGUUAGAGCCACCCCAAGCUGAGCAGGGAAUGAGGAAGGUGCUCGAGGCCUGUGGCACCCCCAGUGUGUCCCUUGUUGCCCUGGGCCCCUGGGCUGUGCACGUACAACAGCCGGGCGACCAGCUGGGAGAUAGCAGAAGGCUGCGAGGGUGUUGGGACCUUGGCUGUGGGCUGGAGGACACUCUCUCGGUGGGGCCCUGGACGGAGUGGGGCUUUCAGGGAGAUACAACAACAAUUCUCCUACUUCAAUGUUUGUUACCUUGCAUCAGGCCAACUCACCUGGUCGUGGCAUGGAGGGGAAGGAGACAACUGACCCCACACAACUAUAUGAACUGACUAUGGCAGAGGAUAGUGGCUCCCUACCCCAUGUGCAGGGCUACGUUUUUGGGGUCCCAGCAGAGAGCAAUGUGCUCCCUAGGAACUAGCCAGCGUCCUUUGGCACCAGGGUCUGGAUCAGCUCCUGAAAGCUACUGCUGUCCUUGCUGCUUACAAGAGGGGACACAAAGUGUGAGUAGCACGUUUGUCCCUUCAAGUCACCCUCUGCUAGCCUCACCCCAGGGCCCUGAGUCACGACAGAGCCCCCCCACCUCCAGUCCGUGAUAUGUGAUGUGGGAGCAGGGAGCACGCACAGCCCGCUCGGAGGCUGGCUGCAGGAGCAGCCCCGGGCAGGGGCCGGGGGGCAGCCCUCCCCCUGCUGCAGGGGGCGCCCCAGGCUGAGCACAGUGAGACCCCCCCUCGGCACUGCUCGCACAGCCCCAGCCAUGCUGUGCCCCUUUCCCGGAGCUGGCCGCUGUGCUGCCCCGUGCCUCUGCUGGGAGCCACUUGCUGAAGAUUACAGAGCUCACAUCCUCUCCCCGGCCCUUUUCCUCCUGGGCACAAUGCUCCCGAUUCAGCUCCCGGCCUCUCCUCCUGCCGGGCCCUAAAUAAAGUGCUUCCGGGCUGAG
rnacentral:lncRNA from 1 species